rnacentral:lncRNA from 1 species
UUCCCCUUUCCCAGAGGCUGUGACAAUUCUGUCUUUGUUCCCAGUGAAGUAAAUGGUAGAGAAACCGAGGCUGUUCACGUUACACUCGGUCAAGAAGUCCUCUGGAACCCGGGGAAGGCUUGAGGCUCAGCAGCAAUGGAGGCAGGUGUUUUGUAUCCCCAUCUUGGUGGACACAGAAUCAGGCCGCUGCGCUGGGCAAUGGGGAUGCCCUCUCUUUUCCACGGUGACCAUCGGCGCUGAAAGCCCGCUUCCCACGUGGUCUUAGGUGGGAGGGCAGGAGGCCACUCAGAGCGGACCUGUCUGCGGGGCCUGAGGACUCUCCUGAUGGGACCGAGCCUGCCUGCCACCUCCCCUCCCGUGACAUCUCCCCAUCAGGUGUGGGGGGUCCUGGUUUUAUCCUGGCCUGAGCACACUCCCUUCAAAUGCGCUCCCAGGCCCCAGGGGGGAAUGGACGGUGGUGAGGGCUGUGUGCCUCUGUGAGCCUGAGUUCUACGGCACAUGAAUUACACCGAGAUAAAGCUGCGAUGUUAGAACAGAAAAG